rnacentral:rRNA from 1 species
UGCAGUCGAACGCUUCUUUUUCCACCGGAGCUUGCUCCACCGGAAAAAGAGGAGUGGCGAACGGGUGAGUAACACGUGGGUAACCUGCCCAUCAGAAGGGGAUAACACUUGGAAACAGGUGCUAAUACCGUAUAACAAUCGAAACCGCAUGGUUUUGAUUUGAAAGGCGCUUUCGGGUGUCGCUGAUGGAUGGACCCGCGGUGCAUUAGCUAGUUGGUGAGGUAACGGCUCACCAAGGCCACGAUGCAUAGCCGACCUGAGAGGGUGAUCGGCCACAUUGGGACUGAGACACGGCCCAAACUCCUACGGGAGGCAGCAGUAGGGAAUCUUCGGCAAUGGACGAAAGUCUGACCGAGCAACGCCGCGUGAGUGAAGAAGGUUUUCGGAUCGUAAAACUCUGUUGUUAGAGAAGAACAAGGAUGAGAGUAACUGUUCAUCCCUUGACGGUAUCUAACCAGAAAGCCACGGCUAACUACGUGCCAGCAGCCGCGGUAAUACGUAGGUGGCAAGCGUUGUCCGGAUUUAUUGGGCGUAAAGCGAGCGCAGGCGGUUUCUUAAGUCUGAUGUGAAAGCCCCCGGCUCAACCGGGGAGGGUCAUUGGAAACUGGGAGACUUGAGUGCAGAAGAGGAGAGUGGAAUUCCAUGUGUAGCGGUGAAAUGCGUAGAUAUAUGGAGGAACACCAGUGGCGAAGGCGGCUCUCUGGUCUGUAACUGACGCUGAGGCUCGAGAGCGUGCGGAGCAAACAGGAUUACAUACCCUGGUAGUCCACGCCGUAGACGAUGAGUGCUAAGUGUUGGAGGGUUUCCGCCCUUCAGUGCUGCAGCUAACGCAUUAAUCACUCCGCCAGCGGAGUACUACCGCAAGGUUGAUACUCAAAGGAAUUGACGGGGGCCCGCCCAACCGGUGCAGCAUGUGGUUGAAUUCCAAGCAAUACGAAGAACGUUACCAGGUCUUGACUUCCUUUGACCAUUCUUGAGAUAAAGCUUCCCCUUCAGGGGUAAACUGACCAGUGUUGUUGGUUGUCAUCAACUCUUGUCAUCAGAAGUUGGGUUUAUUUCCCCCAGCGAGGGCCACCCCUAAAUUU